UUGGAUUUCUCCACUCGUGAUGACCUUGAUGAGGAUGAUGAACCUGACCUGGGAGAGGAUGUUGACUUGGCCUUCCUCCGCUUCUGCUUCUUAGGAGGUGCUACGUCCCUGUAAAGCUCAGAUGUUGGUUGCUGUCUCAUUGACUCCUUCUUAGGAGGUGCUACGUCUCUGUAAAGCUCAGAUGCUGGUUGCUGUCUCAUUGACUCUGUGUAAUCUGUCAAGAAGAUGUGGAAAAAAAAACGCAUAAAAUUUCACAAGAAACAGCACCUAAAUAUCUACCAAAAAACAGGAACAGUACUUCUACUAUAACAAAAUUUCGUGAAUUAACUCAUAUCAAGACAUCCAGAAGUUGGCAUUAGAAAUCAAUGUUCAUUUACGGGGGCCACUUCAAGUAAGACAUUUCUCAUUUUCGGCAUUUAUUAUAAGAGCUCUCACUCAAAGAUAUAAACGAAGAGCAAUACAACCAAGUUGAACGACCUAUAAACAGACCGCAUGUCCCUUCAAAGUUCCCUUCAGUAUUUGAAACAGAAUUUUUUCGCAUCAAAGUUCCUCAAGAUAAAUCAAGAAACUUGCACUUCCCUAUCAC
rnacentral:lncRNA from 1 species